AACGAACGCUGGCGGCAGGCCUAACACAUGCAAGUCGAGCGAGGACUUCGGUCCUAGCGGCGGACGGGUGAGUAACGCGUGGGAACGUGCCCUUUGCUUCGGAAUAGCCCUGGGAAACUGGGAGUAAUACCGGAUGAGCCCUUUGGGGGAAAGAUUUAUCGGCGAAGGAUCGGCCCGCGUUGGAUUAGGUAGUUGGUGGGGUAAUGGCCUACCAAGCCGACGAUCCAUAGCUGGUUUGAGAGGAUGAUCAGCCACACUGGGACUGAGACACGGCCCAGACUCCUACGGGAGGCAGCAGUGGGGAAUCUUAGACAAUGGGGGAAACCCUGAUCUAGCCAUGCCGCGUGAGCGAUGAAGGCCUUAGGGUUGUAAAGCUCUUUCAGCUGGGAAGAUAAUGAUGGUACCAGCAGAAGAAGCCCCGGCUAACUCCGUG
rnacentral:rRNA from 1 species